rnacentral:rRNA from 1 species
UACGGAAGGCAGCAGUGGGGAAUAUUGCACAAUGGGCGCAAGCCUGAUGCAGCCAUGCCGCGUGUAUGAAGAAGGCCUUCGGGUUGUAAAGUACUUUCAGUCGUGAGGGAGGUGUUAAGGUUAAUAACCUUAGCAAUUGACGUUAGCGACAGAAGAAGCACCGGCUAACUCCGUGCCAGCAGCCGCGGUAAUACGGAGGGUGCGAGCGUUAAUCGGAAUUACUGGGCGUAAAGGGCACGCAGGCGGUUAAUUAAGUUGGAUGUGAAAUCCCCGGGCUUAACCUGGGAAUGGCAUUCAAGACUGGUUAGCUAGAGUCUUGUAGAGGGGGUAGAAUUCCAUGUGUAGCGGUGAAAUGCGUAGAGAUGUGGAGGAAUACCGGUGGCGAAGGCGGCCCCUGGACAAAGACUGACGCUCAUGUGCGAAAGCGUGGGGAGCAAACAGGAUUAGAUACC